UAGGUCUUCCAUUGAAUUUUGAGAUUAGAUCGAAUUUAUUUUUUUAAGAUUCGAGGUUGGAGCGGGGUCAAAAAAUUAGUCAAACUUCGGGUCAGGGUGGGCAAAAAUCUACCCACCCCGCCUCGAUUUCAUCCCUAAUAUUACUAGUACAUAUCCUAGGCUAAUUAUGGAAAUAAGUAAAUACGUAAUCAAUAAAAUAUCUACAAAAAUUCUGCUCCUAAUCUCUCCUAAAAUCUGCCCUAUAUCCAAGCCCUUAUUACAAGGAAUAAAGCAGUGAAUAAAUCCCUAAAUUAAAUCCCUGCAUUCAAGGGAUUUGUAGUUAUAGUUUUCCCGCAAUUGCCUUCAAGUUUGUGAAUAAAUACUCUCCAUUCCUAGCUUGAAUACAAUAGUUUGGAAAAUUGAGCUACUAAAGCCUUUGGUAAGUUUUAUAUAUCAAUUUACUCUCCAACUUCUCUUCGAUGAAGUGUUUGUUAAUUUAAAUGUGCUUUGUUUGGUCAUGUUCUAUUGGGUUGUGAGCUAUACUGAUUGCAGGUUUGCUGUCCCAAUAAUUUCAUAGGACCAUCCCACUUAAUUUUCAAAUAUUUUAAGAAUGAUCUUCAACCAAAGUAGUUCGCACAUACCUUGAGCCAUUGCUCAAAAUUCAGCCUUUUUACUUGACUGAGCUACUACACUUUAUUUUUUACUUUUUCAUGUCACUAGACUCCCAUCAAAGAAGGUGCAAAAUCUUGCGAUUGAUCUUCUAUCAACAAUUGAUCUAGCAUAAUCAACAUCAAUGUAUUUGUUACAAAUUGAUUAAUUAUGCAGCAGCUCGAACACAUGAUGAAUCGCGAAGUGACAAGCUGUGAGAUGAACUGUGAAAUGACAGUGGCGAAGUGCGAGAUGUCUUUGGAAGUGGCGAGAUGUAGCUGAAGCCUUGGUGCAUGCAGGUUUCAUCAAGUUGCAUGGCAGACUAGUUUAGUUCAUUUGGAACUUAGUUUUGUUAUGUUUACAGCUUAGUUAGUUGAUGCAUUAAGAUAGCUUAGUGGGGUUAGUUGAGUAUUUGGUGAUGUAUUCGACUUUAAAUGUUUUGUUUUCUUGUUGAAUGAUAGAGCUAAUAGAUACAAGCUCCUUCGCUGCACGUUUUUGCUUCUUGUUCUCUGUUUUUCUUUGACAAUAUCACCAACAAUUGGAAUCAAAAGUCUCUCAUCUUUGAGGGUUACUGUUUUUGUUUGUAUUUUCUUGUCAAGAAAGAAAGAACCAACUUUGUUUCUUUGUUGUAGCUGCUAACAUGUCUUUAGGGAGUUUUUCACCACCACCACCUCUUGUCUUUGUUGGAGAGAACUAUCAUAUUUGGGUAGUCAAGAUGAAGACUUACCUCCUGGCCUUUGACUUGUG
rnacentral:lncRNA from 1 species